rnacentral:tmRNA from 1 species
UUGGACCCGGGGGCGGUACCCGGCGCCUCCACCAAAGUGUAUGAGGAUAAAUAAAUGCAUUUUUAUGGGGGCGAAAUUAGGAUCGACAAAGGUGUAAAGAUCGCUUCUUUUACUCGGUAUUGUACCACCGUCAUCGGGCUAAAUAAACAGUUGCAAAUGACAACUAUAAAGCAGAAGUACGUCUCGCUGCUUAACGCGGUGCGGAUACUUCAAAUUUAACUCUUAAGCCGUUGCAGGUUUAAGCGGGGUUCGAAGG